CAGAGUGGCCUUGCUGCCA
rnacentral:snRNA from 1 species